rnacentral:miRNA from 1 species
GUAGCCGCCCGCCACAGUCACA